CGAGUGGCGAACGGGUGAGUAAUACAUCGGAACAUGUCCUGUAGUGGGGGAUAGCCCGGCGAAAGCCGGAUUAAUACCGCAUACGAUCUACGGAUGAAAGCGGGGGACCUUCGGGCCUCGCGCUAUAGGGUUGGCCGAUGGCUGAUUAGCUAGUUGGUGGGGUAAAGGCCUACCAAGGCGACGAUCAGUAGCUGGUCUGAGAGGACGACCAGCCACACUGGGACUGAGACACGGCCCAGACUCCUACGGGAGGCAGCAGUGGGGAAUUUUGGACAAUGGGCGAAAGCCUGAUCCAGCGAUGCCGCGUGUGUGAAGAAGGCCUUCGGGUUGUAAAGCACUUUUGUCCGGAAAGAAAUCCUUGGUUCUAAUAUAGCCGGGGGAUGACGGUACCGGAAGAAUAAGCACCGGCUAACUACGUGCCAGCAGCCGCGGUAAUACGUAGGGUGCGAGCGUUAAUCGGAAUUACUGGGCGUAAAGCGUGCGCAGGCGGUUCGCUAAGACCGAUGUGAAAUCCCCGGGCUCAACCUGGGAACUGCAUUGGUGACUGGCAGGCUAGAGUAUGGCAGAGGGGGGUAGAAUUCCACGUGUAGCAGUGAAAUGCGUAGAGAUGUGGAGGA
rnacentral:rRNA from 1 species